CGCGGAGUAGAGCAGUGGUAGCUCGUCGGGCUCAUAACCCGGAGGCCGAUGGUUCGAGUCCAUCCUCCGCAACUA
rnacentral:tRNA from 1 species